AAUAUCUUGGUGGCAUCCGCUGUUGUAGUUGACUUUGAUUCAGUCUUAUUUUCGAGUCCUUGAAAGCUCUGGCAUUUUGACCCAUGAACAUUUUGCAUCUAGAAUAGAAUUUCAGCAAUUUCUUUAUCUAGAAUACAAUGCAUUUUAAGACUUUCUAGAGCUCUUUUUUUUUCUUUUUUUUUUUUUGUUCUUUUGAUGAGGACAUUAUAUUCUUCGUAUUUUUAUUGUUUGGAGUGUCAGAAACGAAGACCACAUCAGCCAAGUUUCCAAGAUAUGCUUGUGGGUGAAAUCUUUAUGCUUGUUUCUGUUUCAUAAUCAGCGUUUUACUGUUUACCCUACUUGAUCUAGGAAACAGAGAAAUAUUACAUUCUUGAUCUUACCAUAUGAACAAUCAAUAAGAGGGUAGCCACGGCACCUAAUGGGACUGUGAUGAGAUUCCAUUUUUAUUUAGCCUAUUAAUGGAUAUACAAUUGGACAUGGAGUCGAUUUUUUAUGUGCAGAAACCAGUGUUGAAUUGCGAAGCGUUGUGAGCACAGCAAAUGCAAUCCAAUGCUUUGUUUCAUAGCUGCAAGACUGUAAUUCACCUCUCCUAAAAAAACACCCGUCUCUAUGAUACAACCAUUACCUUGUUGAUGCUUUGCUUCAUCGUUAAGAGUUCCUGAAUCUUUGUACUGCGAAGCGAAAGCUCCCACCACACCUCUUAUUCUUUCCUGCCCCACCUCUUAUCCCUUCCUGUCUUCUAUAUUCGCUCUCUGAUUUGCAUCCUUUUUCCCCAUCCUAUCCUUCCCUUUGCAUGAGAAAUCGAUCUUCUUUCCAGCAAAUAUUACAGAGCAAGAACGCAAAAGGUCACAGCUCCAUGUUCAAGAGUAAAUAACUUUACCGGAUCUCUGGGAUGCCAUUUAUACCUUGUUCUGCUUUAUUUACAACUACUCCAUAUCUCCCUGAUAAACUAGAGCAGUUGUGUACUCUAUUUUACUAGCCCAUGGGCUCAAAUUUUAGUGACAUUCAAGACUUGCUCUCGCUGCUUCAAACACUUGAAUUUCUAGCCACACGUAGCGUGUCAGGUGUUAGGUAUUUGUCGGCAAAAUAAUUGAUCCACCAAUCUGGUUAGCCCAUGUAUAACCUUGGGGACACCUAGCAGAAUUUUGAGAGGAUCAGUAAUGGUUGUAAAACCUAUCAAUCGUGGCUUAAUUCUGGGCAUUGAUAAUUACUUGAUUCAACUGUGCACAUCUGAUUGCCAUUUCUUCUCUACUGCAAACAGCUGGGUCUAGCCCAAUAUAAUAGAUUGCUGAAGCCUUAAAUCUUGUCAUUCCUCUCCAAUAAAUUUCUUCAUCGGUGUUUUCUAAAAGGAAAUUUCUUUAACAACCCAUCACUACCUUACAAUUUAUACCUCAGGCAUGGUUGGUGAAAUUCUACAUCCUGAAUACAGCAGAUUGGACUACCAACUAGUGAAAAUAGCAGAGUGGCCACCACGAUGCUGGUCCUCCUUACAGUUUAGAACAUGGCACCUUGUGAUGCACGUGUCUGGGCUCUACAUGGACCUAAUACCCACAAAUACAGAGACACCACACAAGAAAUUUCUAGCACUUGGCCCUUGGUGGAUUGUUUCUGUCGAGUCGUAUGCUUUUUCAGUAUUCACUGGAAAAAGGGGGUGUCUCCUAAUCAAUAAUCAACAGGGAGAUUUAGUUGAAUUUUAUUCUCAUUUCUUUAGCUGAUAAAUCGGUAUGUGACAUGGUUGUUCGUUAUUUGGCCAUUUAUUACCAUCUAUUGAUAAAUGAUAGUGAAGUCUGUUAAUCAGCUGCGAUGAAUACAGUAUCAAUACACUCCAAAAAGACUCCAAGCACUAGGGGAUGCGAUGAAGAGCAGGAAUUCGGGAAAUAAAAACUGGAAACCACAAAAACACUGGUGAAUGUGUAAAAGGUUGUCAAGCUAGUGGCAAAUUACGUCCUUUACUUAUCCAGUUCAUAGAACUGAACUUUUAUUUCAUGCUUGGUUGACAGCUGAAAACAAGGAUCUCUUGAAGCUAUCUUAUUAGGCAAACAUGGUUAAUUGAUCAUUAAGUUUUAAGAUUCAGCACCGCUAGCUAUAUGUUCUAAGAAAUCUUAUUUCCCUAAAUUUGUUGCAGGAACAUGAUGUGAUUGCUAUAUCUUGGACACGAACUUAAGGAAUUUACCUCUUGUAAGAAUGAAUCGCAAUCACACAACAACCCAUGUUCUUUGCAACCGAGAAUGUUGCGUAGCGGUUGGACCCCAGCUCUAAUCCAAUCAAUGACAAGCACUACGAUAGAGACGAGAAUGGCCGAACCUGCAAAAACAAGAGGAGGACAUAGCUUGGUUCUUC